rnacentral:rRNA from 1 species
AACGAACGCUGGCGGCAUGCCUAACACAUGCAAGUCGAACGAGCCCUUCGGGUCUAGUCGCCCACGAGUUCGUAACCCGUGGGAAUCUGCCCUUUGCUUCGGAAUAACAGUUAGAAAUGACUGCUAAUACCGGAUGAUGUCUAAAGACCAAAGAUUUAUCGGCAAAGGAUGAGCCCGCGUAGGAUUAGGUAGUUGGUGGGGUAAAGGCCUACCAAGCCGACGAUCCUUAGCUGGUCUGAGAGGAUGAUCAGCCACACUGAGACUGAGACGCGGCCCAGAAUCCUACGGGAGGCAGCAGUGGGGAAUAGUGGAACGUGGGCGAAAGGCUGAUGGAGUAAGGACGCGUGAGUGAUGAAGGCCGUAGAGUUGUAAAGCGCUUUUAACAGGGAUGAUAAUGACAGUACCUGGAGAGAAAGCUACGGCUAACUCCGUG